rnacentral:tRNA from 1 species
GUAUAUAUUCCCGAGCGGUCAAAGGGGCUAGUUUCAAGUUCUAGUGCGGAUGCUUCGCAGGUUCGAAUCCUGCUAUAUACA